rnacentral:rRNA from 1 species
AUGGCACUGGAACAAGUUUUCUCGGACCGUGAUAGUGAAGAUGAAGUUGAUGAUGACAUCGCCGAUUUUGAAGAUAAACGGAUGCUUGAGGAUUUUGUUGACGUCACAGACCAUGAGAAACUUAUUAUGCAUAUGUGGAAUUCAUUUGUUCGGAAACAAAGGGUGCUAGCUGAUGGUCAUAUUCCUUGGGCCUGUGAGGCAUUCUCCCGGCUUCAUGGAAAACAUCUUGUACAGAAUCCUCCUCUACUAUGGAGCUGGCGUUUCCUUAUGAUUAAACUCUGGAACCACAGUCUAUUAGAUGCCCGCACCAUGAAUGUCUGCGGCACAAUUCUUCAAGGCUACCAAAAUGAAAGCUCGGACCCCAAGAAAAUGUGA